rnacentral:rRNA from 1 species
UACAGAGGUCUCAAGCGUUGUUCGGAUUCAUUGGGCGUAAAGGGUGCGUAGGUGGCGCCGUAAGUCAGGUGUGAAAUUUCGGAGCUUAACUCCGAAACUGCAUUUGAUACUGCGGUGCUUGAGGACUGGAGAGGAGACUGGAAUUCACGGUGUAGCAGUGAAAUGCGUAGAUAUCGUGAGGAAGACCAGUGGCGAAGGCGGGUCUCUGGACAGUUCCUGACGCUGAGGCACGAAGGCCAGGGGAGCAAACGGG